rnacentral:rRNA from 1 species
GGAGGGUGCAAGCGUUAUCCGGAUUCACUGGGUUUAAAGGGUGCGUAGGUGGGUAAGUAGGUCAGUGGUGAAAUCUCCGGGCUUAACCCGGAAACUGCCAUUGAUACUAUUUGUCUUGAAUACUGUGGAGGUCAGCGGAAUAUGUCAUGUAGCGGUGAAAUGCUUAGAUAUGACAUAGAACACCAAUUGCGAAGGCAGCUGGCUACACAAAUAUUGACACUGAGGCACGAAAGCGUGGGGAUCAAACAGGAUUAGAUACCCUGGUAGUCCACGCCCUAAACUAUGGAUACUCGACAUUUGCGAUAAACUGCAAGUGUCUGAGCGAAAGCAUUAAGUAUCCCACCUGGGAAGUACGAUCGCAAGAUUG